UUUCUGCUUGGAGAUUGCCUUCUGUGGGGUGUUUGGUGAGUUCUAAUCUUCAGAAAGGGGAAACUGUGAAAUCACCUUUACUUUAGCUGCAGGUAGUGUUAUUUGUAAUAAUACCUGCCAGGUCUAUGCUGUUUGAAUGUAACGUUUUGCAUCAACUAUUUCUAAAAUAUCAGGUUGUACUUCAGGUACCUGGGGCUCUAGACAGCCUGACCUAGUGGAGUCUGUCUCUUGCCUGUGGCACGGGUGUUGGAACUGGAUGAUCUUUAACAUCCUUUCAGAUCAAAAAAUAUGUUAUGAUUCCCAGAACUUAGGCAAUAGUCAUUGGAGCAGUAAAUCACUCUUAUCACAGAAUUGCAUGGAAAGGCCAUUUCCAAACCCAUCCAAUGACCGUCAUCACCAUAGGAAGCUACUUUAUGAGCAGAGAUGCAGCAAAAGGGCUUUGCAGUUCUUCAUUACAAAAUUCAGUAUGUUGACACAGUUUUAUCACCAUAUCAGAGGCUAAUCUGUUUUUUUUGUUCCAUGUUUGUCAGAUCAAUUAUUAGAUUAGAAGGAGUGGGAUGCUGUGGCUAUGCACAUCUUGUGAUUAAGUUUGUCUCACAGACCAAUCUGUAUUCAGUUCAUUUCUCAUGCUGUGAUCACGAGUUUAAAGACAUGCUGAUUGACAGAUGGUGCACACCAUAUCUCACUGGAAAUCAUGUUCAGCAUCAGCAGUUAAUGGUCAGACUUUAUGAUAAUUUAACACUCAAUAAGUUAAAUAUUGUAAGUAUAGGCAGAGCCUUGGAAGCCAGUUCUGAGUGUUGUUAAUUUAUACGUAUAUCUUCCAAAUACACUAACAGGUCAAAUUUUCAAGGUCAUUAUUAACACCUUGUUAAACUUCUCACAUCUCUUCCUUUUCUCACCCCAUCUUCAAUUAAGUUCUGGACUAAGUGCCAUUAAAUAAUCUGUUCUGUU
ensembl:lncRNA